UUGGCAAAGCUUGAUUCCUAGGAAGGUGAGGAAUGGAAGAUUAGGGUAGUUUCCAUCGUGAAUAAGGAAGCGGCCAGACUGUUCUGUUCCUGGGAAAUUAUUGGGCCAGCCACAAUCACAUGACCGGAAAAGUGCGAUCGUUUCCUGCGGAUUAGCUUCGAAGAAGGUUAUUUGGGGUACAGUAUUGGCUAACACGGAGGUUGAAUGAUGGAUGGAUUGAUACAGUGUAAGUGUAGCAUACGACUUUAAGAGGACUAACUUUUAAAAAAGGCACAAAUUAGUGAGCAAACUCUUCUACUGGCUGGAAAUUAAGGAAAGAAAGUAAGGGAACAGAGAAAAAUAUGCUGCUGAGCAUGAAAUGAUGUACUAUACAGACUUGGAACAUAGUCAUUUGCAUUUUUACUUGGAAGUAGGGCUGGAAAGUUUCUCUGCCUGAAACCCUCGAGACUUAUAAAGCCCAAAUUAGUCUGCUGGUCUUUAAGAUGCCACAAGACCUCAAAAACAGGAGCAGUGUCCAUGCCACCACACACCAUUCUCCUAUUACUGGCAGUGGUGCUACCAGAAAGACAGCGUGUGGCUCAGCUUCAGCUUCUCAGGUCGGCCAGCUUCACCUGGAAAAACUCUACUGUUAUAAGGCAUUCACUAGUCUGCAGAAUCUGUGGGACAGGUGAGGACCACAAAUGUUGCUCCUGCCAACUUUUGGUAGGAAAGAGUUCUAGAACUACACUCAUCUCUGGAACAUACUUUCAAUCCCAGGGUUCUGCCCCAGAAC